rnacentral:rRNA from 1 species
GUGGGAAAUACCCAUCUCUACGGAAUAACUCAGGGAAACUUGAGCUAAUACCGUAUACGUCCUUUUGGAGAAAGAUUUAUCGGAGAUGGAUGAGCCCGCGUCGGAUUAGCUAGUUGGUGGGGUAAAGGCCUACCAAGGCGACGAUCCGUAGCUGGUCUGAGAGGAUGAUCAGCCACACUGGGACUGAGACACGGCCCAGACUCCUACGGGAGGCAGCAGUGGGGAAUAUUGGACAAUGGGCGCAAGCCUGAUCCAGCCAUGCCGCGUGAGUGAUGAAGGCCCUAGGGUUGUAAAGCUCUUUCACCGGUGAAGAUAAUGACGGUAACCGGAGAAGAAGCCCCGGCUAACUUCGUGCCAGCAGCCGCGGUAAUACGAAGGGGGCUAGCGUUGUUCGGAUUUACUGGGCGUAAAGCGCACGUAGGCGGACUUUUAAGUCAGGGG